UGCCCAGGGGCGAUGGAAGCACUUGGGGCAGAGGGUGAGCACACCAGCAAUGGAAAUAUUCUAAACUUGGGCACACCUGGGGAGAGGGGUGCAGAGGCAACAGUGGGACCCAGAGAAGUUGGAGCAGCCGCAGGGAGCAAGGGCUGAGACCCAGAGGAGCUGGAACAGGCUGGGAGCAGGGAAAGAAUUCCUUUCCAAGCCAGCUCAGGUGAUCAGUCCCAUUCUAAUGGAGUAUUAUCAACACUCACACCAAAUCCCCAAAUACCAUUCACUUCCAGGUGCAAGUCAUCCAACAUCUGUCAGCAGCUACCUUUCUGAGAUACAGAUGCAGUAAUCAGCAUUGAACCUGGCUUCAGCGAUACAGAGGGUGCCCAUUCCACUAAUUUCUCUAUGAAAACGUACUGAGGACUACAAUAAGUAACAGUCACAGGCACACACGAGUAACCAGAAUGGGUCAUACCAUUGGUUCAUCAAAUCCAGUAUCCAAGGCUUCAAAGAAAAAUGGGGCCACUGCAGGAAAACAUGGUCAGUUGUGUGAAGUGUCGCACAUGGAGAAAGUUCUUUACUGAGCCCUGUAACGAUUAGCUUUUGCCCUGGAGCAGGAAAUAUUUCCUUUUCACAGCCUGUAAAACUAAUUACUGACCAUAAAAUUAUCCAGCCCUUAUAAAAUCCCGCCUCUGUAUUUAGCUGUUGCUUAUUAGUUACAUCAUGGUUCUGCCUAUAACUAUACACUGGUACAGCACAAAGAUCUGUCUUCUCUCAAGUCUCCGGUAAGGAAGAGAAUUUCUCUCUAGGAAACAUCAUUAAUACCCGACACUUAUCUAGUUAUUUUUCCUCUUGUCAAAGCAUUUAUAAACACUGAUUUAUCCUCAACACCCACAGCGAGGUCAGACUCUUCCAGUUUAUUGGGGAAAACAGCAACAAGACUGACUGAUGGGCUGUCUCUAUGAAAAAACCUGAUAUCACCUAGCCAAUCAAUGAACUGCACUGGGCUUGCAAGGAUACAAGAACGACAGGGAGAGUUCUCAGGUCCCUAGAUAGCCAACCUGCUUAAAGAACCGAUUAUCCCUAUUUUUUUGAGGAAAUACUCCAUAGAUCAGAGAACUGACCAAACCAAGUCCACAUGAGAAAUGGAGAGGCAGCAGCAAUCAGAGGUCCCCAGCUGGGGCCCUGUUUGGGUCAGCCACGAUAGGUAAAUGGUCAGAUAGGCCUUGCCCUGAAGAGUGGCCAGUCUAAACAAAGGGUAGGAGAGAGGCAGGCUUAUCUCCAUUUAACACUGGGGAAACUGAGGCAUGGAGAGAUUAAGUGACUAGCCCAAGAUCAUAUAAGAAGCCUACACCAGAGCCAGGAACUGAACCCAUAUCUUCCGAGUCCCAAUCCAGUGCUUUAACCACAAGACCAUCCUUUCUUUUCCCCUUCCUCUCUGUCACUGGGCUGCUGAAUGAAGACAUCAGCCAACAAAGCUUACCCUGCGGACACAGAGACAGGUCUGACUCUGCCAAGGGACUAUCGAGGUGACCUACUAAGGUGGCUAGCUGAAGCAAGGCUUACCCAGAUAGUAAAGGCGAUGAGAAUGUGGGCUGGAUUCUUCUGUUUUCUGGACAAAUUGGAAAUCAUGGGGCGCCUUGUUCACUAUCAUGCCUGAAUACUUCCUGCUGCUGUGAAUAAUGUCACGCAGCCCAUCCCACGAAUGCUUCUCCACCAGGAACUGGGAAGGCACGUCCUCCAUCUCAACCACUUCAGUGUUGUCUGACAGCGCAUCCACUGCGGUCAUCCUCUCUUUCUCC